rnacentral:rRNA from 1 species
AAGCGGAGGAAAAGAAACCAACAGGCAUUGCCUUAGUAACGGCGAGUGAAGCGGCAAAAGCUCAAAUUUGAAAUCUGGCACCUUCGGUGUCCGAGUUGUAAUUUGAAGAAGGUAACUUUGGAGUUGGCUCUUGUCUAUGUUCCUUGGAACAGGACGUCACAGAGGGUGAGAAUCCCGUGCGAUGAGAUGCCCAAUUCUAUGUAAAGUGCUUUCGAAGAGUCGAGUUGUUUGGGAAUGCAGCUCUAAGUGGGUGGUAAAUUCCAUCUAAAGCUAAAUAUUGGCGAGAGACCGAUAGCGAACAAGUACAGUGAUGGAAAGAUGAAAAGAACUUUGAAAAGAGAGUGAAAAAGUACGUGAAAUUGUUGAAAGGGAAGGGCUUGAGAUCAGACUUGGUAUUUUGCGAUCCUUUCCUUCUUGGUUGGGUUCUCCGCAGCUUACUGGGCCAGCAUCGGUUUGGAUGGUAGGAUAAUGAUUAAGGAAUGUAUCUCUACUUCGGUGGAGUGUUAUAGCCUUGGUUGAUACUGCCUGUCUAGACCGAGGACUGCGUCUUUGACUAGGAUGCUGGCAUAAUGAUCUUAAGCCACCCGUCUU